UCUGUCCACCUGAAGAAUUGACAAAUGCACCAGAGGAUAGCAAAGCUUGAGGAACCACGCCGGCCAGACGACAUCUGCCUCAGCUGCUCGAAUGAAGAGAUGUCAGCUCCACGACUGAAAAAAGAAGAGAAAGGCCAAGGCAUCAGCUACUACAGCAACCAAGAAGCGGAUCAACAAAGAACUUUUACCACUUCCAGCAGCAGCGGAGAUCUGUCUACAAAAACAGAUCAAUUGAGCUUGAGAACCCAAAGCAAAAAAGUAGUACUGUCAACCUACCUACCUGCCGUACUAGCCAGCAAGUGCUUCCGAGGUAAUGUUUGCUAGAGUUGACCACUCUGGAUGUUAUGUACUAUAGUAUUAUGAACCUAAUUACUAUCUCAGCUAGAAAGAGCCUUUGGCAUGUCCCGAAACUGGGCAUCUGCUGCUUAUUAAAUACACAAUCCUCUGCUUGUGAGUCA